UACGUAGGCAGCAAGCGUUGUUCGGAGUUACUGGGCGUAAGGGUGUGUAGGCGGUUCUUUUAAGUUUGCUGUGAAAUCUCCCGGCUUAACCGGGAGGGUGCGGUGAAUACUGAGGGACUAGAGUACGGGAGAGGAAAGUGGAAUUCCUGGUGUAGCGGUGAAAUGCGUAGAUAUCAGGAGGAACACCGGUGGUGUAGACGGCUUUCUGGACCGUAACUGACGCUGAGACACGAAAGCGUGGGUAGCAAACAGG
rnacentral:rRNA from 1 species